rnacentral:miRNA from 1 species
CGGACACGGAGGCUCCCGAAA